UCUGUGCGCGGUGGCGUGCAGUACGUGGUGGUUGGUUUCUGCGGUUGCGGACAGGCGCCUCAGCAAGCUGAACCGGGGAGGCCGCGGGCUUCGUCGCCAGACGUCCUUGUAGCUAACUUUAGAGAGCGCUUAGCGGCGCUGGCACUGAGGAAUGGAAAUGUACUGCCAUGCAGUGGAGCAGUUCUUCCUCGGGCUCGUAACAUUAUGGAAUUCCUGUUGAAAUGCGAGCUGGACUGGUGAAAACCAGAUUCUCAUAUCGUCUCAUGAGCUGUUUGUCAAGGAGGAAGAGAAGACAGAGGGAAAUGGUAAACUCUUUAGAGGAAUAGUGCCAGAUAUUAAAUCCAUAAACAAAAUAGAUUGAACCGGAAAGAAUGAGUCAGAGAUGAAGGAAGCGUG